UUCCCUGCACUAUGACAUCACAUCUAUGUCACCAAUAGAACCCUGUUCCCUACACCUUCCCUGCACUAUGACAUCACAUCUAUGUCACCAAUAGAACCCUGUUCCCUACACAGAACACUAUGACAUCACAUCUGUCACCAAUAGAACCCUGUUCCCUACACCUUCCCUGCACUAUGACAUCACAUCUAUGUCACCAAUAGAACCCUGUUCCCUACACAGAACACUAUGACAUCAUAUCUAUGUCACCAAUAAAACCCUGUUCUCUACACCUUCCCUGCACUAUGACAUCACAUCUAUGUCACCAAUAGAACCCUGUUCCCUACACAGAGCACUAUGACAUCACAUCUAUGUCACCAAUAGAACCCUGUUCCCUACACAGUGCACUAUGACAUCACAUCUAUGUCACCAAUAGAACCCUGUUCCCUACACAGUGCACUAUGACAUCACAUCUAUGUCACCAAUAAAACCCUGUUCCCUACACAGUGCACUACUUGGUGAGAGUGUGUUUGUUCCUGGGGUUAUAUUGCAUACAACUUUCCAAUGACGUUUCCUCACGGUUCGAUAUAAAUUAAUGUUCUCAAAUUUGUUCAGAGAACGUUAAGAAACAACGUUCUUCUUUUGGGAUUGUCAGUUCUUCAAAGCAUAAUAUUUUCUACAGGUUUUUACAGGUUUCCUCAUGGUUCUACUUAGUCACGUUCAGAGAACAUUAAAAUAUUUAAUUUCAGUACUUCAGCAUAACGUUUCCUACAGGUUUCCUCAUGGUUCUACUUAGUCACGUUCAGAGAACAUUAAAAUAUUUAAUUUCAGUACUUCAGCAUAACGUUUCCUACAGGUUUCCUCAUGGUUUUAAUUUAAAGUCGUGUUCUCAGAACAUUAAGAAAUCUUUACAUAACCACAAGAAAACAUAAGAAUGAAUGUUAUUUAAAAACAUACAUUCCUUUCUCAGCAUCUACAAAACACUCUCUGCUCUUAUCUUGUUAAGUGUGUAAAUUAAAAUUAGUACCUUUUAAAAAAAAAAUUUACAAACUUUAAAUUGAAUUAGACUGAAUGUUGCCGUUUCUCUUUUUUUUAAAUAACAAGAAAUAUUAUACUGAUGCAACUUAGUGAUUAAAGGGAUGGGUUGAUGGACAGAUGGACUGAGGUGAAAAGGGGCGUGUCUCUGGUUGGAGCACCCGAAGGGAACGGUUGCUGCUGUUCUCUUCUGGAAGCCAUUUUGUAUUUAUUUUAUUUUUUUCAAGACUUGGCUCGUUACCACGGCAACAACUUCUACUCAGUCACCGGAUACAUUCACUGCACUGUCUUACAACUGGUCAGGGCAGUAUAGUGAAGCACACAGAAAAGUUUGGAAAAUUCCAGUCGUUUUCCCAAAAUUCCCAGGUUUUCCAGUUUGGGAGAUUCCCGGAAUCAGGGGGGGAACAAGCAGGAAAUCAUGGGAAUUUAAUUGAAAGUUACUUGAAUUUUACAACCUUACACACAGAUAUAGAUAAUAAUAAUAAUAACAACAACAACAACAACAACCACCAUGCCAUGUUCAAACACGUCUUUGAGAAACUGAAACACAUUUUUUUGAUCUAUAUUUGGUCCUCUCCCUGGCCCAGUAUGAGGUAUCAGCCGUCCGUUAGCCCCGAGUCUCAGUUUCACUGUCUGUUCCACUCAGUCACAGCUUAGGUUUGUGUUUUGUAGUUUUGGCCCCGUUCACACUCAGGUUCUGCCAACUGAUCUACAACACAUUGGACACAAUGGUUUGUGAUCUGAUUUAUUUUUGUGAUGCAAUGAAGAGUUUGUUGCAGAUCCACUGAGCGGUUUCUCCACACGCUUGUGUAGUUUAUUUGUGUGCAGAAAAACUCUUGUAUGAUACAACUGGCAUCCCAAAACCGUUGUGCCAAAUAUGUUGUACGUCAGUUGUAUACGGGACCACUGUCAAGACUUCAGCCGAAGUCGGUCCCUCUCCUAGUUCGGGCGGCGUUCGACGUCACCGGCCUUCUGGCCAUCGCCGAUCCACCUUUUGAUUUUCUAUUGGUUUUGUCUGGUCUUCCCUCACACCUGGUUUCAAUUCAAUCAAUUACAUGUUGUGUAUUUAACCCUCUGUUCCCCCCCCCCAUGUCCUUGUCCAGUAUUGUUCAUUGUAAGAGUUUGUGCACGUUAUGUCUGGUGUGCGAAGGGUUUUGUCCCCAUUGUAUUUAUUUAUUGUUUUUGUUCACAGUGAUUUGUAUAAUUAAACUGCUCCGUUGUAAGACAGUCUUUGCUCUCCUGCGCCUGACUUCUCUGACGCCAGUACGCACCUCACUACGCACCUCACUACGCACGUCACUACGCCUUACAGCCACUGUGGUCUGACUUCUCUGCCGCCAGUACGCACCUCACUACGCACCUCAC
ensembl:lncRNA